UACGUAGGGUGCGAGCGUUGUUCGGAUUCAUUGGGCGUAAAGGGUGUGUAGGUGGCGCGCUAAGUCGGGUGUGAAAUUUCGGAGCUUAACUCCGAAACUGCAUUCGAUACUGGCGUGCUUGAGGACUGGAGAGGAGACUGGAAUUUACGGUGUAGCGGUGAAAUGCGUAGAUAUCGUAAGGAAGACCAGUGGCGAAGGCGGGUCUCUGGACAGUUCCUGACGCUGAGGCACGAAGGCCAGGGGAGCAAACGGG
rnacentral:rRNA from 1 species